rnacentral:lncRNA from 1 species
UCAUCCUGUCCUCACAAUGGCUGGUGUGGAGACCCACAGACUUCAUCCUUAGGACGGACCUUCAGGCACCCAGGCUGCCUACUGACCUCCCUGGCAUGGGUGGGAACCGGGAGCUCGUUGGUAAGCAGGAGGAUUCAGGACUAUCGACUGAACCCCACCUCCUCUGUGGCACGCACCGUGCUGUGUCUUUGCAGUCAUCAUCUCAUCACCUCUGCACAGGAAGAUUAUCUCCCCCAUUUUGUGAUGAGGAAAUGGAGGCUCCAGGUGGAAAGAUGCAACCUGGGCCAGAGGCCCCUGGAGGUUGUGCCUGAACCCAGACAGAUCACACAAACCUGAGCAGCCAUUAGCCGCUGUGUGGGCUCCUUUGCACUGUGGGGCUGCUCCUGGGGAUAUUUACGUUGUGAACUGGUAAAAUCUGAACUGCAGAAUAUCAAUUUCCAGACAUUCUUCCUAGAUGAUGCCGUCUGCCACGGAGACCAUGUAGAUGGAUUGAAUGGGGAUAUGAUGAGGAUGACCACCCCUGCAUUUGCUAAGUUCUUGGGAGUGGCAUCGAUCUCAGCCAUUCCACUGGAAUAGGGUCAGGAAACAAAACGUGAGGGCUCUACCAGCUGCUCAGUCUAUCCUUUCCAAUUGAGCACACUGGAACUGAGGAAGCAAAGACAGGGUGAGCCCUAACACCCUCAUCAUCACUGCUGAGCCUGCCUUGACAAGAACUCCAUUUAUCACCCGCCUCCAUAAUAGCCCAUUCUAACUAGCUGUCAUCGUGGCAUUUCAGGUUCUGCUGAUGUCAUUAUAAUGGACCUUAACUAGUGGGCUGAAGGCAAUGAGGGGAUGUGAGGAUGCAUCUUGUGAAGGACAAAAGUCAUCCU